CGGCUUCUUUGGUGUUGGUCGGCCCCUUUUUUUCCCGUUUUGUUUGGUUUUUCAACUUUCUGUUUUGUUUUUUUUUGUUUAUAGAUCAAUAACAAUGGUAAAGUGAUUGUCAUGCAUGAUUAUCCCAUUCAUGUUAUUGAUUCAAUAUCUCAUCCUCUUUCUUUAGAGUCAAGAGUUUGCAUUUUCCGAUCAAUAUCCGGCAAUGGUGUUGGAAUAAUAUUGGUGCCUUUUCGCUAAGGAUAAAUCCAGGCAUCUUCCGUUGUUA
rnacentral:lncRNA from 1 species